rnacentral:rRNA from 1 species
GAUGAACGCUGGCGGCGUGCCUAAUACAUGCAAGUCGAGCGAACAGACGAGGAGCUUGCUCCUCUGACGUUAGCGGCGGACGGGUGAGUAACACGUGGAUAACCUAUCUAUAAGACUGGGAUAACUUCGGGAAACCGGAGCUAAUACCGGAUAAUAUAUUGAACCGCAUGGUUCAAUAGUGAAAGACGGCUUUGCUGUCACUUAUAGAUGGAUCCGCGCCGCAUUAGCUAGUUGGUAAGGUAACGGCUUACCAAGGCAACGAUGCGUAGCCGACCUGAGAGGGUGAUCGGCCACACUGGAACUGAGACAAGGUCCGGACUCCUACGGGAAGCAGCAGUAGGGAAUCUUCCGCAAUGGGCGAAAGCUUGACGGAACAACGCCGCGUGAGUGAUGAAGGUCUUCGGAUCGUAAAACUCUGUUAUUAGGGAAGAACAAAUGUGUAAGUAACUAUGCACGUCUUGACAGUACCUAAUCAGAAAGCCACGGCUAGCUACGUG